rnacentral:rRNA from 1 species
UACGUAGGGGGCAAACGUUGUCCGGAUUUACUGGGUGUAAAGGGUGCUCAGGCGGUCUUGUAAGUUAGAAGUGAAAUCCUAGGGCUUAACUCUGGAACUGCUUUUAAUACUGCAAGGCUUGAAUAUGGAAGAGGAGGAUGGAAUUUCUGGUGUAGCAGUGAAAUGCGUAGAUAUCAGAAAGAACACCAGUGGCGAAGGCGGUCCUCUGGUCCAUUAUUGACGCUAAAGCACGAAAGCGUGGGGAGCAAACAGG